AACGAACGCUGGCGGCAUGCCUAACACAUGCAAGUCGAACGAGACCUUUGGGUCUAGUGGCGCACGGGUGCGUAACGCGUGGGAAUCUGCCCUUGGGUUCGGAAUAACAGUGAGAAAUUGCUGCUAAUACCGGAUGAUGUCUUCGGACCAAAGAUUUAUCGCCCAGGGAUGAGCCCGCGUAGGAUUAGCUAGUUGGUGGGGUAAUGGCCUACCAAGGCGACGAUCCUUAGCUGGUCUGAGAGGAUGAUCAGCCACACUGGGACUGAGACACGGCCCAGACUCCUACGGGAGGCAGCAGUGGGGAAUAUUGGACAAUGGGCGCAAGCCUGAUCCAGCAAUGCCGCGUGAGUGAUGAAGGCCUUAGGGUUGUAAAGCUCUUUUACCAGGGAUGAUAAUGACAGUACCUGGAGAAUAAGCUCCGGCUAACUCCGU
rnacentral:rRNA from 1 species